rnacentral:ncRNA from 2 species
UUGUGCCGAACGUGCUCUGGUGCCUUGCUCUUUGUUUCUCCAAAGACAGGGUGAAAAGGGAAUGGGGUGAAAAUCCCCAGCUGUACCCGCAACUGUAACAGGCGAGCUGCCGGUUAAUAGGUCACUGGAUCUUUGAUGAUCCGGGAAGACAACCGACCAGUGAUGACCCUGAAGCCAGGAAACCUGCCAGAACAUGAAAUCUCUA